rnacentral:rRNA from 1 species
AGCAGCCGCGGUAAUUCCAGCUCCAAUAGCGUAUAUUAAAGUUGUUGCAGUUAAAAAGCUCGUAGUUGAAUUUCAGGGGUAGCAGGUCGGUCGUGCCAUCGGUAUGAACUGGUCUCGCUGAUCCCUCCCUCUUGACGAACUGUGAUGCCAUUAAUUUGGUGUCGCAGGGAAUCAGGACUGUUACUUUGAAAAAUUAGAGUGUUUAAAGCAGGCUCACGCUUGAAUACAUUAGCAUGGAAUAAUGAAAUAGGACGUUUGAUCCUAUUUUGUGGCUUCUAGGAUUGACGUAAUGAUUAAUAGGGAUAGUUGGGGC